GAACCCGAACUGUUGCUAGACGUGGGUUAGGUUAGGUUAGAAAUGCGACCCCCAAGAAAACGAACUGUUGCCAGAAGUGGGUUAGGUUAGGUUAGAACUGCGACCCCCAAGAAAACGAACUGUUGCCAGAAAAGUGGAAAUUUAAAAA